rnacentral:rRNA from 1 species
UACGUAGGCAGCGAGCGUUGUUCGGAGUUACUGGGCGUAAAGCGUGCGUAGGCGGUGUCUUAAGUUUGCUGUGAAAUCUCCCGGCUUAACCGGGAGGGUGCGGCGAAUACUGAGAUGCUGGAGUGCCGGAGAGGUAAGCGGAAUUCCUGGUGUAGCGGUGAAAUGCGUAGAUAUCAGGAGGAACACCUGCGGUGUAGACGGCUUACUGGACGGUAACUGACGCUGAGGCACGAAAGCGUGGGUAGCAAACAGG